rnacentral:lncRNA from 1 species
UUUCCCUAGGGUUGAUGUUAUAGAUCCUUCUGCCCCCAAUCUUUUCCAUGUCCAAAAGCUUGGCUAUGUACAUCUCUAUGAUGACCAUUUUUACCCAUAGGACGUAGGAGACAAUGCAAUGGUCGCCGCAAUCUGUAAAUCUUCAGAAUUCCUUAACAAGGAAGGUGUAGACUGGACCAUAGAGUCUCUUGGAGUAAUUUCCCCAACCUUGUUUCUCUAGUUCUUCAGUGAGAUAAAUGUCGUUACGCUUCAGAUUGUCAAAAUC